CUGAAGUGAAGCCCGGAACCUGAAGGGCUGGGAGGUCGGGGAGAAAGCAGAGCAGCACCGAAGGCCAGAAAUUAAAUUCACAGCCCGGGACCCCGACGACCCAAGGACUAGGGAAAAAGUCACUUCCCAUUCCAGCUCGAUCAAUCUUCCUUCCAUGCGAUUGAUUAAUAGAAAACGAAGUGAAAAGACCGUGGUCGCUGUGCGUCUGGGAAGGAAGCGAAGGGCAGAGUGGCCAUUGUUGAAGCAAUUAGCGAGAGACAAUAACCACCGAGAUGCGUUUAAUUCGAUUCCGUGCACGCUGCAAUCCCCGCCCGGGCUCUGCGAUAUGCAGGCCUGGGAUAACCCGGAGGGUCUGGUUGUGAAGGUACGGGUUGGGUUCCUUGAUCAUUUUGUCUUAGGCAUGGAAGUUGUAAAAGAAAGGCGGGAGGGGGAGCUAGAUCUGCCCCCAAGCAAGCCACGGUAGGAGACUCAUCCUUGGUCAUCCCCCGGACCACUGUUCUUUCUUGGAGCAUGGGUUGGAGCUGCGGCCGCCUGGUCAAUCCACAGUGCCUGUUUGAG
rnacentral:lncRNA from 1 species